GCCCAGGGAGUUCUGGGGGUCACUGGGGUGGUUUUGAGGGCCUCAGGUUGUUUGGGAUCCCCAGGGAAAGGUUUGGGGUGAAGGGGUGGUUCUGGGCGUCCUGGAAGGGAUUUGGCGGUCCAGGAGGGUCGAGGGGGUCCCCACGUGGUUUGGGAGGCACUCGGGGUGGUUAAAGAGGCAGAGAGCUGGGAUCUUGCUGACGGAGACUCCCAAUCUCCCCCAUGGACUCCCCCAAAUCUCCCCUAGAAGCUCCAAACCCUCUCCGGGAUCCCCAAAUCCCGACAAGACUCUCUCAGCUCUGCUUAGAUCCAUGAGCCCAUCCAAGGGAAUGAUACCACAACUGGCUGGCAAAUAAACUUUCUAACACAAUUUGGAGCAUUAGAAAGCAGGUGUCCUUUAUCUGCGCGGGACACACUGAAGGAUUUCUCCUUUAAUCUGAUGUGUGUGGUGAAACUUUACCACAGGGUAUGGUCCUGGAGGGACCACACACAGGUCUCUGGUGGUCAUACUCACGGAAUGCUUCCAUAUUACAUGUGACCUUUCCUUGAACGUUUUCCUUGUGCAUGCACUGUUACUUGUUGUCACGUAACUUGACAAAAACCCCAUUAUAUUCCUCAUUACCUAUUUGUCCACUGGCUUCAGCUGUGCUUGUGAUCCUCUGUGCAUAUCUUUACAUCGUUUCAGCUUUUUUGCCAGUUGUCUUUAAGCUCCAUCCAGCACUUUCAGGGCAACUGAAAAUUUAUGCUCUCCAGCUCAUUUAUCAGGAGCCCCAAAACCCUUCCAGGGACCCCCAUCUUCCCAGAGGGACCUUGUGGUUUGGGAGGUUCAGAGGGCUAUCUCUGGGUAGUUUUGGGCAAUCUCCAAGUGGUUUUGGGAGUCCCUGGAUGGCUUUGGGGGUGGGGUCUCUGUCUCUGGACACUUUUAAGGAUCUCUGUGGGGUUCAGGGUUUCCCCAUUUUUAUGUCUUCAUUUUAAGGCAAAAGCUCUUUGCCAACGUCUCACCUGGCUCCAGCUGGUUUUCUUCAGCUUUUUCAGUCAUUUGGGCCAGAAUUUCACAUUUCCUGUAAUUCCUCGCUGAGACUUGGGUUAUUAAUUUUGGGUAAAAAACAUCUGGAUUUGGUCUGUCCUUUCCCCGGUGUCAUGGGGCCCAAGGGUACCAUGGGGACAGUGAUUCUGGGAGUUCAGGGAAUUUGGGAUUAUUGCCAUGGGUCCCACACCUGUUGUGACAUCCCUGUGGGUCCCACACCUGUCAUGACAUCCCUGUAAGUCACAUCUGUCAAGGUGUCCUGUGGGUUCCACUCCCAUCAUUUCCCAUCCCUGACAGGAUCCAGCUGCCAGUUCCCAAAUUCUCUGGAGCUGUGGCUCAUGCUCCGCUGUCCCCCUCCCCCUGCCCCCAUCCUGACAUUCUGCUGAAUCUGCCCAGAUCUGCAUGGUAUGGCUGUGGCUUGGUUAUUUUUUAUUUGGGUGUAAAAAGAGUGACUCUGGGACAAACACUCCAUGUUUUAAGGGACCUGGGAUUUCAAGAGCCAAGGGGCCUGUGGGUGGAGAGGCUUCAUUCCCCAUUUAUUCCUGGUUUUCCUUGUUGUUUGAUGAUGGGCAGAAAUUGAGGAUUUUUUCUGUCCAGAUUUCAGAUUUUUUACCCUUUCCUUUCCCCAGUUUUAUGACUUUUACCCUCUUUUCUCCAUGUUUCAUAAUUUGUUGUGUUUUAAACACUUUUUUUCCCCUUUUUUUUUUUUAAAUUUUUUGCCCAUUUCCCCCUAAGUCUCAGGGAUUUGCCCUUUUUGUGCACUUUUCUCUCAAAUUUCAGGGUUUUUUUUUCCCUCAUGCCCAAAAUUUGGUCAUUUUUUUUCUUCCCCGUUUUGGAGGCCAAAUUGAGCAUUUGGGAGGGUUUGUGUGGGACAAGGUGAGUGAAGGGUUUUCCUGGAUGUUGAGCCCCAUUUUGAUCCGAACUUAGGGGAUGCUGGGCAAAAAAAUACCCAUUUUGACUGAAACUAGGGGGAUUUGGGGAAAAAUUCAUCCUUUCAAUGAAGUUUAAGUGUGGAUUUGGUGGAAAUGGGGUAUUGAUGUGGCAUCAAGGGCAGGGGUUGGUGGGAGGGUUGUGUCAGCAUUUUAAACCCAUUUUGACGUGAAUCUAGGUGAUUUUAGUUAAUUUUUUUCUGGUUUUGGAGUGACUCUGAUAUAGAUGGAGACUGAUGUGGGCUAAAGGUGGGGGGGAGGAUGGGGGAGAGGGAUGUUUAAUCCCUGUUUAAUUCCAUUAUGACCAAAAGAGGGGGUAUUGGGAGAAAAAAAUAUUUUUACCCAAAAUGGGAGAAUUUGGGAAGAAAAACCAUUUUGAUCCAAACUUGGGGAAUUUUGGACAAUAUUUUUAGAGUUUUGAGUUUUUGGGGUGGAUUUGGCAUUGGGGACCAAAAUAAGCCCCAAGAGAUUUCUGUGGGGUGAAAAAAAGGCAUUUUGGGGUAUUUAAAAGAUUUUGGGUAAUUUGGGGGUUAUUUGAGGCUUCUAGAGGCACCCCAGGGAUGGGGGUGGAUUUUUCCUGUAAAACAACAAUUUUUAGUAAUUUUCGGUGUUUUUCACAGGAAUGGUACGAGAUGGGAUCAGGUGGCUCCUCCUUCCCUUCUGUGGUAAUUAACAGGGGAUGAACAACACAUAAUUAACAGGAGAUGAACAACAAGUAAUUGAUUAUCAACGAGGUAACAAUAAAGACUGGUAACAGUGGGUGUAACUUUAUCAACUCUGUAACUUUUAAUAAAUGGGCAAUUUCUUUUUCCUAACAUUUAUAAUUCACCCUUGGUUCCUUAAGAUUCCAUUGCAUCACAGUGGUCUCCUUGGUACCUUGAGGCCCAGAUGUGCCAUAAUGCAGCCUUCAUUCUGUGGAAUUCCAUUAUGUCAGAUUGGUCUCCGGGCUUCCAUGAGACCCAGCUGUGUUUGCAACUGACACUUGGUUCCCCAGGAUUCCAUGGUGUCACUGUGCUCUCCUGUUGUUCAUGACCCUGUGCUGUGUCACAAUGGACACUGAGUUCUGCCUGCCCUGGCAAUAUCCAAGUGGCAUCUGGCUUCCAUGAGGCCCCGUUGUGCUUGCAGUUGACACUUGGUUCCCAGAGCGUGCAUUGCUUCUCAGUGGUCUCCUGGUGCCAUGAGGCCCUCCUGUGCCUUAAUGAACACCUGGUCCCAUCAGAUUCCUUUGUGACACAGUGGUCUGCUGAGUUACAUGAGGAUAAACUUUGUCACUGAUGCCAAGAUGACUUUUUGCUUAUUCUUUUCUGUACCAUUAUUAUGGCUUUUAUGUAUCCUCGGCAUUCUUAGCAUGCAUACAUACAAAUAAAAAGGAGCAAGUAUGCCUGCUUAGAAUACUGAAGAUAGUAUUCAAAGUUAUAGAAAUGGCAAAAAAUCAUCUUGACACAACGCAGCGUGAUGGAACUCAGCAGGCCAUUGCGACAACCUGGAAUCUUAUGGAUCCAAGGUUUUACUUUGACAAAGUGGGGCCCCAUGGGACACAGGUGCCACUGGAAUGUUGCCAGGCCUAGUAGAAACAAGGCUCCAUUAUUGCACAGCAAGGCCUUAUGGCAUCUGGGGGCCAUUGUGUUACAAUGGAAUCAGAUGGAAGCAAGUGUCCAUUGUGACACAGGAGGGUCUCAUGGCACCCAGGAUGUAGCAGUCUGAAUUGCUGCUAGCAUAGUCCAGGGUAAGGAAGCAAAAAGAACCUUUGCAUAAUAUCCACAGAUGUUUUAUUCAGCCACAGGGUGAGAUGUUCAGGUCUUAGCGCCUACACACACAGAGAGUCUGGCUUUCCCACAACGGGGGCCUGAGGGCUGACCCUGGUCUCGGGGUAGUACAAAGAUGUACAGAUAUACAGGAGACCAUUGUCAUGCAAUGCAAGCUCUGGGAAUCAAGUGUCAACUGCAAACACAACAGGGCCUCCUUGAAAUCAGGUGAUACUGGGAUAUUGCAGGGAGAGGAAAAAAUCAGUGUCCAUUAUGAAUUCAGUGUCCAUUGUGACACAGUGCAGCUCAUGGAAACCUGGGGACUAUUGUGAUGCAAUGAAAUCUCGUGGAACCAAAUGUCAGUUGUGAACAUGUGGCCUCAUGGAACCCAGGGGCAACUGGGACCGAGCUAUGGUUUGUGGAAGCAAGGGGCCAUUGUGACACAGCAUGGCCACUUGGAACUCAGGAGAAUAUUUUGGGCCAAUGGAAUCCCAUGGAACCAAGUGUCAUUUAUCAAAACAGCGGGGCCUUAUAGAACCCAAGUGACCAUUGCGAUUUCAUGGGUUCUCAUGGAAAAAAUUGUCUCUUAUAAGAUAGCAGAGCGUUGUGGAACACAGGUGCCCCGUGGACAUUGCCACUGUGCAUGGAAGCAAAUGUCCAUUAUGACACAGCCAGGCCUGAUGGAACACAGGAGACCAUUGUGACACAAGGGAAUCUCAAGAAACCAAGGCUCUCUUGUGACAUAGAGGGCCAUCAUGGAACCAAGAUAACCAUUGGGAGGAAAUGGAAUCUCAUGGAAAAAAGAGUAAGUUGUCAAACAGCAGGGCUUCAUGGAUCCCAGGUGCCAAUGGGACGUUUCCAAGGUUUGUGCGAGCAAGUGUCCCUUGUGACACAGCAGGGCCUCAUGGCACCCAGGACAGCACCAUGAUGCCAUGCAAUCUUAGGGAACCGGGUCUUAACUGCAAACACAACAGGGCCUCAUGGAACACAUGUGUCCUUUGGAUAUUGCCUGGGCAGGUGGAACUCAAUGUCCAUUGUCUCAAUGGAAUCUGAUGGAAGCAAGUGUCCAUUGUGACAUAGCAGGGCCUCAUGGGAACCCAGGAGACCUCUGCGAUGCAAUGCAAUCACCAGGAACCAAAUGCCAACUGCUAACACAACAGGGCCUCCUUGAAGCCAGGUCCUACUUGGAUAUUGCCCUGGCAAGCUGAACUCAGUGUCCAUUGUGGCAUAGCACAGGCUUAUGAACAACAGGAGAGCAAAGUGACACAUGGAAUCUUGGGGAACUAAGAUGGUCUCAACACAAAUCUUCCUAAGGGUGACUCUUGCAAAAAACAAAGACUGUCUUUUGUCUUCAA